ACCGGUGUCUAAGGAAACAAAUGCAGAAGGAACGAGCGGAUUCUUUGGAGGGAUUCCCGCUCCUCCGUCGCGAGCCGGCACCGGCCCUGCGACCCGCCCCGCUCCGCCGGAACAUGGGAGUCGCCCCCACCCGUUUCUGCGAGGACCGAGCUUCCGAGAGCACCACCGAACUGCGGCACUUCCGGCCCGCUCCCCCGGGGGAGACCGACUUCCGGGGCAGUUUCAGGGCGUGGAGCUGAGACCUUGCGGCUCCGCUCGCUCCCGCCUCUAGGGAAUGUUUAUUGUAACUCCACUUCGAACUCCGCCUUUCUCAGAACUGCACGAGAACUAUUUUAAAAUUUACACAGAAACUAAAAACGUGGAGGAAUUGUCAACUAUGAAAACUAAAGAAUGCCGAGGGCGUUCCCCUGCCGGACGUUCAGGGCGAGGCGCGGCCGGAAGAGGGUCUCCCGGGGGAGCCCGGGGCACCAGGUCCUGGGCGAAGUGCGGCGCUGGCUCAGGGCGACAUAACGACCUUAGCCCCUGUCUCCGUGAACACGCAAACAAAUUCAGGUCGGCUUGGAAAUCAAAAUGCAAAGCGAAUAAAACUGGUGAAAACACUAGCAAAGAAUGUGAAUAUUUGUAUAACCUUGGAGUCACGAAGACUUUUUAAAGCAAGACUAUUGAGAGCAUAUAGUAUUUGUCAGACAGAUAAAACAACUUUAGUAAGCUUACACAUUUACCUACGGGCAGAUGGACUCAGGUCGUCAUCUGCUUGCUGUGGGCGAUAAAAAUUCACAAAGUGAAAAAGCUGCUGACACGGGGCUUAGUCUUAGACACAAUUCAAGUCAGUUAUUAGUUAAUUUUGAGUAAUGGUGCCUCAGAGUCUCCUGGGUCCUAGGAAAGGAUCUCCCUGGGGGAUAGCACCCCUGUCACAUGAAUACCUGUGUCUUCACUUCUAAUAGUUAAGAAACUGGAAGUGGGAUUGCUGACUUCAACGGGAUUGCAGGGAUGGCUGCCAUCGCCAUCGGGUGGCAAGUACACACUGUGUGUUCCCCAGAGCUCACACUCGUCCUGAGUUUUGUGUAAACACCUUCAUCUGACAGUAGCGAGAGGAGAUGUGGCUGGGGAGGGAGGCCAGAGUGCGGCGUGCACCAAAUGAGCGUCUGCCAUGUCCCCCCGCCGCGGCGACACUAGGCGCCAGCACAGCAGCCGGGGCCGCUGGUCUCUGGGAUGCUCUGUCCCCCCGCUUGUGUGGAGGCGGCUUUCCCCACACUCCUGCUGCUGGCACCCCGACAUCUGUGUGUCUUCCUGGGAGGUCUUGCCCUCACCAACGCUGCACUCCGCUCGUGCUGCAGCCUCGUCAGGAUGUCCUUCCCCCAAACUUCGCCGUGGGGCGUCCAGCUGCCCAUGGCUUCCGACAGGCCCCCCAGCAGCCCCUACCCCCCACCUCAGGGUAUUUGCGUCACACCAUCCCUUGGAGAGUGGGUGGCCCCAGCGCCUUGCACAAGAGGUGAGGGGCGUCACUUCCAUGACUGGGCUACAAAAGGCCGGCUGCCCCCUCGUGCUGGAGUGUCCUGGUGGGAAGAGGCACCGGCCAACAACUCACGGGGAACUGAGGCCAGGAACUGGCCUGCCAACACCCUGGCGUUGAUCCUAAACGUGGGUCCCGGUCGGAUGAGACCACAGCCCUCCUCACACCUGGCGGAAGCCUUGUGGCCGAGCAGGGCCAAUGGACCCAGCUAAGCUAUGCUGAACCCAUGACCCACAGAGACUGCAAGGUGAUAACUCUGUUACUUCAAGCAGGGUAAGUUUACUGUAACAAUAGCUAGUAAUCCAACUUUUUCUGGAA